GUCAAGUGAUGAUGAUGUGCAUUCUGAGGUCAACUGGAGACAAACCAGAGUAUCAUGUAUUGUCUGUAAUCUUGAUGAGUGUGAUGGAGACUGCACACUCAUUGUAAGGCCGGACAUAGAAAAGGGUGGGCCGGGAUAGCGUCCUCUUAGUCUAAGUCGUGACCUUGGGGACAUCGCCCUGGCCCAACAGGGAUGGGAACAGGGUGGGGAAAUUUUUUUUUUUUUUUUUUGGUAACCAGUGACCUGUGACCUUUAUCUUUAGUAAUCUGAUGACA